UACGGGGGGAGCAAGCGUUGUUCGGAUUUACUGGGCGUAAAGGGCGCGUAGGCGGUCAGCACAAGUCAGUUGUGAAAUCUCCGGGCUUAACUCGGAAAGGUCAACUGAUACUGUGCGACUAGAGUGCAGAAGGGGGCAACUGGAAUUCUCGGUGUAGCGGUGAAAUGCGUAGAUAUCGAGAGGAACACCCUGCGGCGAAGGCGGGGUGCUGGGGCUGACACUGACCGCUGAUGCGCGAAAGCGUGGGGGAGCGAAC
rnacentral:rRNA from 1 species